rnacentral:rRNA from 1 species
UACGGAGGGGACUAGCGUUGUUCGGAAUUACUGGGCGUAAAGCGCACGUAGGCGGCUUUGUUAGUCAGGGGUGAAAUCCCGAGGCUCAACCUCGGAACUGCCUUUGAUACUGCAAAUCUCGAGUCCGGAAGAGGUGAGUGGAAUUCCUAGUGUAGAGGUGAAAUUCGUAGAUAUUAGGAAGAACACCAGUGGCGAAGGCGGCUCACUGGUCCGGAACUGACGCUGAGGUGCGAAAGCGUGGGGAGCAAACAGG